rnacentral:rRNA from 1 species
UAGGGAAUCUUCGGCAAUGGGGGCAACCCUGACCGAGCAACGCCGCGUGAGUGAAGAAGGUUUUCGGAUCGUAAAGCUCUGUUGUAAGUCAAGAACGGGUGUGAGAGUGGAAAGUUCACACUGUGACGGUAGCUUACCAGAAAGGGACGGCUAACUACGUGCCAGCAGCCGCGGUAAUACGUAGGUCCCGAGCGUUGUCCGGAUUAUUGGGCGUAAAGCGAGCGCAGGCGGUUUGAUAAGUCUGAAGUUAAAGGCUGUGGCUCAACCAUAGUCGCUUUGGAAACUGUCAAACUUGAGUGCAGAAGGGGAGAGUGGAAUUCCAUGUGUAGCGGUGAAAUGCGUAGAUAUAUGGAGGAACACCGGUGGCGAAAGCGGCUCUCUGGUCUGUAACUGACGCUGAGGCUCGAAAGCGUGGGGAGCGAACAGGA